rnacentral:rRNA from 1 species
UACGGAGGUGGCAGGCGUUACUCGGAUUGAUUGGGUGUAAAGGGCGUGUAGGCGGUAAAUUAAGUCGAGUGUGAAAUCCCUUGGCUCAACCAAGGAACUGCACUCGAAACUGAUUUGCUUGAGUAAUGGAGAGGAAAGCGGAAUUCCCGGUGUAACAGUGAAAUGUGUAGAUAUCGGGAGGAACACCAGUGGCGAAGGCGGCUUUCUGGACAUUUACUGACGCUGAAACGCGAGAGCUAGGGGAGCAAACAGG